UCCAAAGUCUUUGUGAGAAGGAGAAGC
rnacentral:piRNA from 1 species